UACGUAGGGUGCAAGCGUUGUCCGGAUUUAUUGGGCGUAAAGAGCUCGUAGGCGGUCUGUCGCGUCGGCUGUGAAAACCCGGGGCUCAACCCCGGGCCUGCAGUCGAUACGGGCAGACUAGAGUUCGGUAGGGGAGACUGGAAUUCCUGGUGUAGCGGUGAAAUGCGCAGAUAUCAGGAGGAACACCGGUGGCGAAGGCGGGUCUCUGGGCAGUAACUGACGCUGAGGAGCGAAAGCGUGGGGAGCGAACAGG
rnacentral:rRNA from 1 species